GGGAGGCAGCAGUGGGGAAUAUUGCACAAUGGGCGCAAGCCUGAUGCAGCCAUGCCGCGUGUAUGAAGAAGGCCUUCGGGUUGUAAAGUACUUUCAGCAGUGAGGUAAGGUGGGUAUGUUAAUAGCAUAUUCAUUUGACGUUAGCUGCAGAAGAAGCACCGGCUAACUCCGUGCCAGCAGCCGCGGUAAUACGGAGGGUGCGAGCGUUAAUCGGAAUUACUGGGCGUAAAGCGCAUGCAGGUGGUUUGUUAAGUCAGAUGUGAAAGCCCGGGGCUCAACCUCGGAAUUGCAUUUGAAACUGGCAAACUAGAGUACUGUAGAGGGGGUAGAAUUUCAGGUGUAGCGGUGAAAUGCGUAGAGAUCUGAAGGAAUACCGGUGGCGAAGGCGGCCCCCUGGACAGAUACUGACACUCAGAUGCGAAAGCGGUGGGGAGCAAACAGGAUUAGACUACCCUGGUAG
rnacentral:rRNA from 1 species